UAGAUGAUGAUGAUGAGGAUACGGAUAUACCAUUGCCUUUGGGGCCUGAGCCCGAACCCGUUCCCGAAAAAGUCCCGAAAAGUAGUGAUGAUGACCUCUACGAGCCAGAGAAUCCAACCGAAGAACCUGAAGAACCCGAAAUG
ensembl:ncRNA scaRNA:MeU4:25F-C137 small Cajal body-specific RNA : MeU4:25F-C137